rnacentral:rRNA from 1 species
UACGGGGGGGGCAAGCGUUGUUCGGAAUUACUGGGCGUAAAGGGCUCGUAGGCGGCCAACUAAGUCGGAUGUGAAAUCCCCAGGCUUAACCUGGGAACUGCAUCCGAUACUGGAUGGCUUGAAUCCGGGAGAGGGAUGCGGAAUUCCUGGUGUAGCGGUGAAAUGCGCAGAUAUCAGGAGGAACACCAAUGGCGAAGGCAGCACUCUGGGACGUGACUGACGCUGAGACGCGAAAGCGUGGGGAGCAAACAGG